rnacentral:rRNA from 1 species
GAUGAACGCUGGCGGCGUGCCUAAUACAUGCAAGUCGAGCGAACAGACGAGGAGCUUGCUCCUCUGACGUUAGCGGCGGACGGGUGAGUAACACGUGGAUAACCUACCUAUAAGACUGGGAUAACUUCGGGAAACCGGAGCUAAUACCGGAUAAUAUAUUGAACCGCAUGGUUCAUUAGUGAAAGACGGUUUUGCUGUCACUUAUAGAUGGAUCCGCGCCGCAUUAGCUAGUUGGUAAGGUAACGGCUUACCAAGGCAACGAUGCGUAGCCGACCUGAGAGGGUGAUCGGCCACACUGGAACUGAGACACGGUCCAGACUCCUACGGGAGGCAGCAGUAGGGAAUCUUCCGCAAUGGGCGAAAGCCUGACGGAGCAACGCCGCGUGAGUGAUGAAGGUCUUCGGAUCGUAAAACUCUGUUAUUAGGGAAGAACAAAUGUGUAAGUAACUAUGCACGUCUUGACGGUACCUAAUCAGAAAGCCACGGCUAACUACGU